UGGAGCUGGCUGGUGCCCAGAGCUGAGAAGGACACUUCCUUGGAUACUCAAACAAGUAGACGGAAGUUGCAGUCCCAACUCAUUUGGACAUAGCAGAGGUGGACCAGGGGCCAUCUCCAGCGGGGGUGGGACAAGCCAGCUGCCUGGAGGAGGGAGCAGAAGAGUCAGUUCUCCACUGAUGACUUCAUUGACAGCCGAAGGGUGAAGUGGGGCGACAGGCAGACCAACUCUCACCCUUUGCCCCCGCUCGGCCCUUCCGUCAGGCACUCCACAGCUGCCUCUGGAGCAGAUGUACAGCUCAUUAGUCAGUCGGCCGCUAGAGCCAAGUCCAGGUUCCCAGCCCCCAUUCCUGGGCCUGGGAGGAGGGAAGGAAGCUGGCCAAAGGGCCUUUGUUCUUCCACAGUAGAGCACUUUGCACGUCAGCCACAAGGGGGCGAAAGCUGCACACGCAUCGUCGGUUUGCAGACCCUGAGCAAGCCUACACUGGCGAGAGCUGGCAAAUUGGGAGGAGGACCAUGAAGAAGAGAUGGCAAAACCUCCUUUGACCUCCAGAGUGUUUCAAGCCUUUAAUGUGGCACGUAAGAAUAGCUCGUUUGAUGCAAGAAUGUUUAGGAGGACAGGAGAACUGGAAUUCAGAUGCUUGGUUAGAUGGUCUCAGCCUUAGGGCCUUCAUGUGGGAAGUAGGAUGAUAUUACUUGCCUCAGAACCCCACCCAGUGACCUUGAGGCUAAAGUGAGACAGAGGACAUGAGGAGCACCUAAGCUUCGUGACAACUGAGGACAAGGGGUUCUGAUCAUCUCUACUUCUCCACAGGGGACAUUGAAUCCCCUGAGCUGCCGUUACGGUCACGUGUGAAUCACCCAGUGUAGGUGUGGAGCACGAACUUGGGUUCUUUGAAGAAUAGCCAAGCCAUCUCUCCAGGCCCCUACUUGGCUUCGCAAAGCUCAUGGAGGGGGCCCCCUCAGUCUUCCUUCACCACUAAAAUGAAGAACCAGUGGCCAGGGGACACUGGAGGACACACUGGCACUCUAAGCCCUACAAGUCUGAGUCUGAGGGUCGGGCACCUAACAAGAGCCAGCUGCCCUCUGUCCUGAGAUGCCCUGACCUGUCUUUCAUCCUCUGGAAGCCGGGAUCCUUGCACCUUCCACAUCCUGUCUCAGUCUGGCUGCAGACUGCUCACUCUGUGAGCUUCUGCCUUGGGGCAGGCCUCACAGAUAAGGGCAAUUCAACGGAGACACUUGUGUCCUGAGCUUGCAGAGCAAUGUAAGAGAGCUGACACGAUCUUUCAAGAUUUGAAUGCAACUGUUAGAGUGCAUUGUCGCAUACUAAAGGAAAGUACAAUUCAGAGAAUGAGGACAGAAAAAUAAAGCCAUGCUCACCAUGAAGUGACUGUCCCAUUGCUGUAGGUCAUUUUGGAGUGUUUUCUAUGAAAAUAAAAAUGAUGGUAGCUGUUA